CCGCUUUAGCUGAACUUAAGUGGAACGACGUAGUUGUGAGGCUAAAGCUGAUGCACUGGGAAUAGCUGGCAUUCGUGAUUCAUUUGAGCAUUCAUUUGGGGCAGAAUAGCACUCUUGUGCUAAGGUUCCGUUUUGAGAAAACAAGUGAAGAGAGGAGCUCUUGUCGCUGCUCAGAAUAGCUAAUCCACUGUACGUGCGGAGCUUGAACCAGCAUGAAUAUAGAAGUUGAUCGGAUGGUUGAGAAGACUGAGGCGGUUGUGAUUCAGAAAAAGUUAGUUGAAGAUGCUUUGCAAAGCUUCCGGAGUUGAUUGCUUAAUCUAUUUGGUAGUGUGAAUGAGAAUCUGCAAUAUUCAGUCUCUAUAUUAGAGUUUGCAAGACCCCAAAGUAGGCUUGUUUAACCAAGA
rnacentral:sRNA from 1 species